rnacentral:misc_RNA from 1 species
AGAAUUAUUUAGUGGAGUGCAGUGCUGACUCAGGUUAUUGAAUAGCUUAUACUGAUAGAUGCAACUCUUCAAAUAUUGAAGAGUGAAGGACGUAGUGGCACAAGCCACAAUUAUCGUC